rnacentral:rRNA from 1 species
AUUGAACGCUGGCGGCAUGCCUUACACAUGCAAGUCGAACGGUAACAGGUUAAGCUGACGAGUGGCGAACGGGUGAGUAAUAUAUCGGAACGUGCCCAGUCGUGGGGGAUAACGCAGCGAAAGCUGUGCUAAUACCGCAUACGAUCUACGGAUGAAAGCGGGGGAUCGCAAGACCUCGCGCGACUGGAGCGGCCGAUAUCAGAUUAGCUAGUUGGUGGGGUAAAAGCCCACCAAGGCGACGAUCUGUAGCUGGUCUGAGAGGACGACCAGCCACACUGGAACUGAGACACGGUCCAGACUCCUACGGGAGGCAGCAGUGGGGAAUUUUGGACAAUGGGCGAAAGCCUGAUCCAGCAAUGCCGCGUGCAGGACGAAGGCCUUCGGGUUGUAAACUGCUUUUGUACGGAACGAAACGGUCUCUUCUAAUAAAGGGGGCUAAUGACGGUACCGUAAGAAUAAGCACCGGCUAACUACGUGCCAGCCGCCGCCGUAA